rnacentral:rRNA from 1 species
CUAGUAACUGCGAGUGAAGCGGGAAAAGCUCAAAUUUAAAAUCUGGCAGUCUCUGGCUGUCCGAGUUGUAAUCUAGAGAAGUAAUGCCCGUGCUGGACCGUGUAUAAGUCUCCUGGGAUGGGGCGUCAUAGAGGGUGAGAAUCCCGUCUUUGACACGGACUACCAGUGCAUUGUGGUAUGCUCUCAAAGAGUCGAGUUGUUUGGGAAUGCAGCUCAAAAUGGGUGGUAAAUUCCAUCUAAAGCUAAAUAUUGGCGAGAGACCGAUAGCGAACAAGUACCGUGAGGGAAAGAUGAAAAGAACUUUGGAAAGAGAGUUAAACAGUACGUGAAAUUGCUGAAAGGGAAACGCUUGAAGUCAGUCGCGUUGGCCGGGAAUCAGCCUUGCUUUUGCAUGGUGUACUUUCUGGUUGACGGGUCAGCAUCAAUUUUGACCGCUGGAAAAAGGCCUGGGGAAUGUGGCAGCUUCGGCUGUGUUAUAGCCCCUAGUCACAUACAGUGGUUGGGAUUGAGGAACUCAGCACGCCGCAAGGCCGGGUUUCGACCACGUUCGUGCUUAGGAUGCUGGCAUAAUGGCUUUAAGCGACCCGUCUUGAAACACGGACCAAGGAGUCUAACAUGCCUGCGAGUAUUUGGGUGGAAAACUCAAGUGCGUAAUGAAAGUGAAAGUUGAGAUCCCUGUCGUGGGGAGCAUCGACGCCCGGACCAGAACUUUUGGGACGGAUCCGCGGUGGAGCAUGUAUGUUGGGACCCGAAAGAUGGUGAACUAUGCCUGAAUAGGGUGAAGCCAGAGGAAACUCUGGUGGAGGCUCGUAGCGAUUCUGACGUGCAAAUCGAUCGUCAAAUUUGGGUAUAGGGGGCGAAAGACUAAU